rnacentral:rRNA from 1 species
AGUGAACGCUGGCGGUAGGCCUAACACAUGCAAGUCGAACGGCAGCACAGUAAGAGCUUGCUCUUACGGGUGGCGAGUGGCGGACGGGUGAGGAAUACAUCGGAAUCUACUUUUUCGUGGGGGAUAACGUAGGGAAACUUACGCUAAUACCGCAUACGACCUACGGGUGAAAGCAGGGGAUCUUCGGACCUUGCGCGAUUGAAUGAGCCGAUGUCGGAUUAGCUAGUUGGCAGGGUAAAGGCCCACCAAGGCGACGAUCCGUAGCUGGUCUGAGAGGAUGAUCGGCCACACUGGAACUGAGAUACGGUCCAGACUCCUACGGGAGGCAGCAGUGGGGAAUAUUGGACAAUGGGCGCAAGCCUGAUCCAGCCAGACCGCGUGGGUGAAGAAGGCCUUCGGGUUGUAAAGCCCUUUUGUUGGGAAAGAAAAGCAGCAGGUUAAUACCCCGCUGUUCUGACGGUACCCAAAGAAUAAGCACCGGCUAACUUCGUG